rnacentral:rRNA from 1 species
AAGGCGAACGAGGUGAACUGAAACAUCUUAGUAACCUCAGGAAAAGAAAACAAUAGUGAUUUUCUGAGUAGCGGCGAGCGAAAGGGAAAAAGCCUAAACCGAGAAUAUGUUAAAGCCCGAAAGCGUUGUAUAUUCGGUGUUGCGGGGCUUGAUUGGAUGGCGUUUCGGAGCCAUCGGAAAGUUACAAAUUUGGCUUAUAACCGAAGCCUCUGGAAAGGGGAACCAUAGACGGUGAUAGUCCGGUAGGUGAAAUAAAUUAAACUUUCUGAAUCAUGUACCCAAGUACCACGGGACACGUGGAACCCUGUGGGAAUCCGGGAGGACCAUCUCCCAAGGCUAAAUACUACUUGGCAACCGAUAGUGAACUAGUACCGUGACGGAAAGGUGAAAAGAACCCCUGUUAGGGGAAUGAAA